UUUCGAGAGAGAUCUGAUUUUUUUUUUUUUUUUUCAAAAUUUGAAUCCUCCAUAUAACGGAAGGGCCGUAUAAAGAAGAAGUCCCUCCCGUUAACAAAUAUCUUUCAAUUAUUUCUCUGAAACCCUAAAAUUCCUCUUCUCCCAAAUCGUCUGUAGAAGUUGAGUUUCUGCUUUCUUUUCUUUUUCUACCGAUCAAACAUUACUAUCGAUUCUAAGGACGAUAAGGCCAUAAGGGUUUCUUCACCAAUCAUCGUGAACGUGGUGGUGGCUAGUAAAUCAAAGAUAAAAAUGGUUUCGUGCUCCUCUGUUUUCAGAUUGGCGUGGAACUAUAUGUGAAGCUCAUUGUGGAGAAUAUGCUUUGUGUAAUAGAAUCUAGCUGAUACAAACCUGGUCAAGUUAGCUCUUGAUGAAGAAAGUGGUUGGCGUGGAACUAUAUGUGAAGCUCAUUGUGGAGAAUAUGCUUAGUCUAAUAGAGUCUGUCUGAUGAAGAAUGUGGUGAGUUAGCUCUUAAUGAAGUUUGUGGUGAGUUUUCUUGCGAAUUAUCAUUGCUGAACUAUGUGUUCCUUUUUUUUUUGUGUAUUGGUGUGUUACGGUUCUGUUAUACUUACCAGUUUCAUUCAUACAUACAUUCAUGCAUUCAUACAUACAUGCAUGCAUUCAUGCAUUCAUUCAUACAUACAUACAUACAUA